UACGGAGGGUGCAAGCGUUAUCCGGAAUCACUGGGUUUAAAGGGUGCGUAGGCGGCUUUAUAAGUCAGAAGUGAAAGAUUUGAGAUUAACUGAGAAAUUGCUUUUGAUACUGUAGAGCUAGAAUAUGGUUGAGGUCAGCGGAAUAUGGCAUGUAGCGGUGAAAUGCAUAGAUAUGCCAUAGAACACCAAUUGCGAAGGCAGCUGGCUGGGCUUAGAUUGACGCUGAGGCACGAAAUCGUGGUUAGCGAACAGG
rnacentral:rRNA from 1 species